UCCCUGGUGGCUCAGAUGGUAAAGAAUCUGACUGCAAUGCAGGAGAUCUAGGUUCGAACCCUGGCUCAGGAA
rnacentral:tRNA from 1 species